ACACAUGCAAGUCGAGGGGCAGCAUGGUCUUAGCUUGCUAAGGCUGAUGGCGACCGGCGCACGGGUGAGUAACACGUAUCCAACCUGCCGUCUACUCUUGGCCAGCCUUCUGAAAGGAAGAUUAAUCCAGGAUGGGAUCAUGAGUUCACAUGUCCGCAUGAUUAAAGGUAUUUUCCGGUAGACGAUGGGGAUGCGUUCCAUUAGAUAGUAGGCGGGGUAACGGCCCACCUAGUCAACGAUGGAUAGGGGUUCUGAGAGGAAGGUCCCCCACAUUGGAACUGAGACACGGUCCAAACUCCUACGGGAGGCAGCAGUGAGGAAUAUUGGUCAAUGGGCGAUGGCCUGAACCAGCCAAGUAGCGUGAAGGAUGACUGCCCUAUGGGUUGUAAACUUCUUUUAUAAAGGAAUAAAGUCGGGUAUGCAUACCCGUUUGCAUGUACUUUAUGAAUAAGGAUCGGCUAACUCCGUGCCAGCAGCCGCGGUAAUACGGAGGAUCCGAGCGUUAUCCGGAUUUAUUGGGUUUAAAGGGAGCGUAGAUGGAUGUUUAAGUCAGUUGUGAAAGUUUGCGGCUCAACCCGUAAAAUUGCCAGUUGAUACUGGAUGUCUUGAGUGCAGUUGAGGCAGGCGGAAUUCGUGGUGUAGC
rnacentral:rRNA from 1 species